CGGGGCAUAGCGCAAUUUGGCAGCGCGCCGCGUUUGGGACGCGGAGGUUCUCGGUUCAAGUCCGGGUGCCCCGA
rnacentral:tRNA from 1 species